rnacentral:rRNA from 1 species
CCCGCACAAGCGGAGGAGCAUGUGGUUUAAUUCGAUGAUACGCGAGGAACCUUACCUGGGCUCGAACGUAAGAUGACUGUAGGUGAAAGCUUACAUCUCUUCGGAGCAUUUUACGAGGUGCUGCAUGGUUGUCGUCAGCUCGUGCCGUGAGGUGUCGGGUUAAGUCCCAUAACGAGCGCAACCCCUACCUUUAGUUGCCAUCAGGUUAAGCUGGGGACUCUAAAGGAACUGCCUACGCAAGUAGUGAGGAAGGCGGGGAUGACGUCAAAUCAGCACGGCCCUUACGUCCAGGGCUACACACGUGCUACAAUGGCCGAUACAGAGGGCAGCUACCUGGUGACAGGAUGCAAAUCUCCAAAGUCGGUCUCAGUUCGGAUCGGAGUCUGCAACCCGACUCCGUGAAGUUGGAUUCGCUAGUAAUCGCGAAUCAGAAUGUCACGGUGAAUACGUUCCCGGGCCUU